rnacentral:misc_RNA from 1 species
AUGUGAAUUUAGUUGACGUUUCGAAUAUUUGAAAAUUAGAAAAUCGCUCGUAUCGAAAGGGUCUCGAGUCAAUCUUCAGUCAAUUUUCUUUCAGCGAUUUUGAGUGAUUAAAAAUCUUUAUUAAAAUGUCAUAGCUUGAUCAUUUAAAAGCAUGGAUCAACUACGUGAUACAAAUUCAAUUUGAACACUCAAAUACGCAUGCCAGUUAUACGCGAAAUUUUGAAGAUACAAAUUCGAAAUUUUCUAAGCUAAUUAAAUAUUUUCGUUAUACGUAUUUAUCUACAUAGAAUUAUCAAUGAGAAGUCUCUCUGGUGAGCGUUCUUCAAAGAUGCAAUAUACCUUGGUCCAGUUCGGUCCGUAGAGCAAGAAGAUUUUUGGUCACGGUCAAUCGAUACGUACUUGAGAGCUACGUUUUCCGGAACUCCGGCGGGAAACAAUAUGCGGAGGCGCCAAGGCAUCGAGCUCCUUUCGUUUCUUCAUCUUCUUCGUCGGCUGACGAAGGGGCACUGUCACCGCCACUGAGUCCAUCUCAAGCAACGCCGAACCGCCUAUCUUCGUUUCGUUUCACGCGAGCUUGUCGCGCACGAGGAGACCCUUCUUUUUUUUCUUUCUUUAUUUUUCUAUACUUCUUUAUCAACCUUUGCACGAUACACACACGUUGAUAAUCGUUCGCAGCAGGUUCAUUUCCGUGCUUAAAAUUCGGUCGCGUUUUCACCGUUUCAAGCUGCUAGGACGCGACGAUCUAUAAUUUACAGCUCUGUGAUCAUAUUUUUCCGAUCCUAUCGUUUCCGCGAAUAGAAUAUUCAUUGGUAUCGUAUCGCGUGAUCAUUUCCUCUAAAAACAGUUGAGUUUGCACAUCAAGAUGUAUGUUUCGACCCGUUCCAUUUUUUUUUGUUUGAAAUAUUGCAUAGUAUUUUUAUAACGGAACAGUUUUAUGAGAAACAACUAGAAUGAAUUUUAAAAAUUUGGGGAAACUAGACAAUAGCGUAAUAGCUUCUUCUAACUCUUUGAGUAUUUAGCAUUCUCAUUAU